rnacentral:misc_RNA from 1 species
GGAAGGAUCAUUCAUGUGUUAACUCACUAUUUACACACUGUGUUGUCGUUCCUUCUUGUGUGUGUGUGAUUUGCACAUGCCGUGUGCAAAUCACACACAUGCACUUUAUCAUACCCAUGGUUAAACAACAUAUCGAUAGACUGAUACAUGUGAAACAAACAAACAACAAACACAACUGUUGGCAACGGAUCACUCGGCUCUCGUGUCGAUGAAGAGCGUAGCGAAUUGCGAAAAGUAAUGCGACUUGCAACCUUUGUGAAUCAUCGAAUCCUUGAACGCACCUUGCACCGUUCGGUCGCCUCUUGUUAGGCCUGAACGGUCUGCCUGUCUGAGUGUCGUCUUCAAUCUACUCUCGACAUGGCUUGUCUGUGUCGUUCGUCCAUCUGCAUCUGCGGAUGGCGAGCGAGCGAGCAAGCCAUGUGGUGGAUCAAUGAGGGCCUCUUUGCAUUGUGGUGCAUGCAUAUGCAUGCACUGUGCAUCCCUUGAAAUGUGCUGCUUUGCAUCGUGUGUUACACACGCUCUUUCUCUUUUCGACAAGAAAACGUUGUGAAGGGUGUGUGUGCAAUCAACAACACGAUCAUCAUCAUCAUCAUAGCGAUCUCAGAUCAGGUAGGACGACUUCCUAAACUUAAGCAUAUUAGUCAGGAAAGGAAAAGAAACCAACAGGGAUUCCCUUAGUAACGGCGAGUGAAGCGGGAAUAGCUCAGAUUUAAAAUCGGGUCAUUGCCUUGUGCUAGAAUGGUCCCGACGUGUAAUUUGAUGAUGUGUCAUCGGCGGAGCGGGCAGGUCAAAGUCCUCUGGAAAGGGGCAUCACGGAGGGUGACAAUCCCGUCCAUGGCCUGUCUUUCAUACGCUCUGCCAUACUGUGAUGGCGCGUCGGCGAGUCGGGUUGUUUGGGAAUGCAGCCCAAAGCGGGUGGUAAACUCCAUCUAAGGCUAAAUACUGGCGAGAGACCGAUAGCGAACAAGUACCGUGAGGGAAAGUUGAAAAGCACUCUGAAGAGAGAGUUAAACAGUACGUGAAAUUGCCAACAGGGAAACGAUGGGCGUCAGUACGCGCUGCGUUCGUGGUGUCAAACGGCCCGUACGCCGUGCCGAGUGUCGAGACAGUGUGUGUGUCAUCACACCACGCUCGGCAUUGUGGCGCGACGUGCAACGUUGCAUUACCACGCGUGGCGGGUCAGCAUCGGUUGUGCACAGGCGGGUAACACAGGUCGCGUGCAAGGUGUCAACGCUUUCAUCGGCGUUGACCUUAUAGGCCGUGGCUUUGGCUAUGCCUGGACGACUGAGGAGCAAUAUGCGCGAUCCGCGCCUUUCACUCGUGGAAGGCGGGGCGCGUGUCUGUUGAUCGGUGUGUGGUGCGUCGUGUUAGACAACCUGGUUGACCAUUGCAUGACUCGCACUGCGCUGCCCAAUGACACGCGCCGCCAGCGGAGGAUCAAGGAUGCUGACGAAAUGGCGCUCAACGACCCGUCUUGAAACACGGACCAAGGAGUCCAACUGGCGUGCGAGUGUUUGGGUGUGUAAAACCCGAACGCGAAAUGAAAGUGACCCAUGGUGCCACGUCCUCGGCGACGGGGACUGCAGCACCGACCGACCUAUACGUGGCGCAUUGUGCGUGCCUUCGGGUGCGCAAUGACCACAGGUUUGCGUAAGAGCACGCCGGCUGGGACCCGAAAGAUGGUGAACUAUGCUUGAGCAGGAUGAAGCCAGAGGAAACUCUGGUGGAGGUCCGUAGGGGUUCUGACGUGCAAAUCGAUCUCUUGACUUGAGUAUAGGGGCGAAAGACUAAUCGAACCAUCUGGUAGCUGGUUGCUGC